rnacentral:rRNA from 1 species
GACGAACGCUGGCGGCGUGCUUAACACAUGCAAGUCGAACGGAAAGGCCCUGCUUUUGUGGGGUGCUCGAGUGGCGAACGGGUGAGUAACACGUGAGUAACCUGCCCUUUACUUUGGGAUAACUUCAGUAAACUGGGGCUAAUACCGGAUAUGAGCUCCUUCUGCAUGGUGGGUGUUUGAAAGUUUCGGCGGUUGGGGAUGGACUCGCGGCUUAUCAGCUUGUUGGUGGGGUAGUGGCUUACCAAGGCUUUGACGGGUAGCCGGACUGAGAGGGUGACAGGCCACAUUGGGAAUGAGAAACGGCCCAGACUCAUACGGGAGGAAGCAGUGGGGAAUAGUGCAAAAUGGGCGGAAGCCUGAUGCAGCAACGCCGCGUGCGGGAUGACGGCCUUCGGGUUGUAAACCGCGUUCGCCUGUGAAGAAGAGUGAGUGACGGUAAUGGGUAAAGAAGCAACGGCUAACUACGUG